UACAGAGACUGCAAGCGUUGUUCGGAUUCAUUGGGCGUAAAGGGUGCGCAGGCGGUGUGCUAAGUCGGAUGUGAAAUCUCACAGCCUAACUGUGAUAGGUCAUUCGAAACUGGCAUGCUAGAGGAUUGGAGAGGAGACUGGAAUAGUUGGUGUAGCAGUGAAAUGCGUAGAGAUCAACUAGGACACCGGUGGCGAAGGCGAGUCUCUGACAAUUCCUGACGCUCAGGCACGAAAGCCAGGGGAGCAAACGGG
rnacentral:rRNA from 1 species